UCAUAACUUUUGUGUGAGUGAUAGCAGCGGCAUCCUUUUACUCGGCAAAAGAUAUGGAAAAUAGCACGGCCACGC
rnacentral:misc_RNA from 1 species